rnacentral:tRNA from 2 species
GGGUUCUUAGCUCAGCUGGUAGAGCAGCGGACUCUUAAUCCGUUGGUCGUAGGUUCGAAUCCUACAGGACCCACCA